rnacentral:rRNA from 1 species
GUCGACUCGAGUCUUCGGACUUGGGUGGCGCACGGGUGAGUAACGCGUAAAGAACUUGCCUCUUAGACCGGGACAACAUCUGGAAACGGAUGCUAAUACCGGAUAUUAUGGUUUUUUCGCAUGGAGGAAUCAUGAAAGCUGGAUGCGCUAAGAGAGAGCUUUGCGUCCCAUUAGCUAGUUGGUGAGGUAACGGCCCACCAAGGCAAUGAUGGGUAGCCGGCCUGAGAGGGUGAACGGCCACAAGGGGACUGAGACACGGCCCUUACUCCUACGGGAGGCAGCAGUGGGGAAUAUUGGACAAUGGACCGCAAGUCUGAUCCAGCAAUUCUGCGUGCACGAUGACGUUUUUCGGAAUGUAAAGUGCUUUCAGUCGGGAAGAAGUCAGUGACGGUACCGACAGAAGAAGCGACGGCUAAAUACGUGCCAGCAGCCGCGGUAAUACGUAUGUCGCAAGCGUUAUCCGGAUUUAUUGGGCGUAAAGCGCGUCUAGGCGGCAAGGAAAGUCUGAUGUGAAAAUGCGGAGCUCAACUCCGUAUGGCGUUGGAAACUGCCUUACUAGAGUACUGGAGAGGUAGGCGGAACUACAAGUGUAGAGGUGAAAUUCGUAGAUAUUUGUAGGAAUGCCGAUGGGGAAGCCAGCCUACUGGACAGAUACUGACGCUAAAGCGCGAAAGCGUGGGUAGCAAACAGG